UGACAGUUACGUCGAUGUUUUCUAUGGUA
rnacentral:piRNA from 1 species